GACCUGUAGCUCUAGAGGCUGGUCUUCCCCCUGAGGUCUCCUAGGAAAAGGCUCAGUUCUUGGAGAUGAAAGAGCCCACAGAGGUCAUCUUGGCCAGCCAAUACCCUUCCCAAUACCCCUAAGAGGUGGUCAUGCUGGCUGUGCUUGAUUACCUCCAGUGAUGGGGAGCUCAGUCUCUAUGGAGACAACCUGUUUCAUUAUUGGCCAACUCUAACUGCUGAACAGUGCCAACGUGACUUCUACAUAGCUCCAAUCUGCCUCGAUGCCACUUCCAUUGCCCUAGUUUCACCCUGUGGAGCCACAGAGAACACAUUUAAAUUCCUCUUCCUUGUGACAGCCCUUCAAAUAUUUGAAAGCAGCUCUCAUGUCCCCCCUCAGCUUCUUCUCCAGGCUAAACAUAGCUCUUUCAGCCAUUGCUCAUAUGACAUGGCUUCAGUCGGCACCACUGUCCUCAUCAUUUUCCACUGGAUGGAUACCAGCUUUUCACGGUCCUUCUUACAGUGUGGGGCCCUGGAGGCACUGAUCUGAGCAGAGGGGAGUUGCACACUCACUUUAUUCCUACCCUCACACGUCUGCUGUCACAGCCCUGCUUGGCAGAUACCCUCUCUCUUUACACACAACAAAUCCGGCAGUCUUUCUCACGCGUGCUGCGGUGAAGCCACACCCCGCUCUGGGACUCAGGCAGCCAUGUUUCAGGGCCCAAGCACAGGGCUUUCGCUUUGUGGAUUCAUGCUAUUGUUCCGGGCUGACUGGAUAUUUGGGUCCUAAUUCUCUCAUUCGGCAUUGGUGGCCCCCCUCGCUCUGCGCUGCUCGCGUUGCUGAGCGCGCCGCCUGUGCCCGCCCCAUCACCCGGAAACACGAGCCACAGGAAUGGGCACGUGCGUCCCUCUCAGGCUCACGUGAAGUCGUUAUUCAGCACCCUCUUGGGGGUGGCCAUUCACACAUCACAGGUCAUACUGUCGCAGAGCUCCCGUUCCGUCACCCGCUCACAAGGGUGCUCGGGGAAGCCGGGUUACAGUCCAUGUAUUCUGCGUCUACACAUGAUCCUCGCCGAAGCGUCUUGUCGUACUCUUGAAGAAAAGUGUGGCGGCAGCGGUGUCCCAUGCGAGGUGAACCCAGGCUGCUCCCACUGGUCUCCGGCAGGUGUGGAGGGCCGGCGCAUCUCCAGGUUGCCCUGGAGACGGGAGGGAGGCAAGCGUCCCCGCAAGGCAGCAGUGUUGGCAGGGCAGGGGCCCGUGUGGAGCCGCGGGGGCCGAUCGGCAGGUGGGGAAGGCUCUGGGCUCCCGGCUGAGGUCACAAGGAAGGACUGAGCCCUGGGUGGCAGAUGUAGGGCAAGGGGUGCCUCCUUCCUCUUCUAGGUCUCUCACCUGUGGAACUUUCCCCGGGGACCAGACCCAGUGGUUUUAUAACUAGUGAGACUGUAGAUCUCACAUUUCUCUGGCCUUUUUUCCUUCCUCCUUUCCCACUUCCCCUGCCUUCUUUUCCUUUUCCCCCUUCCUUUCAUCAGUUGUUUCUUGCCCUCUGAGCACGUCUGCCUCGGUCCUCACUGUUGCUGGGCUGGCGUCCUCCAGGUUGCAGGCCAUUGGGCGAGACACAUGUCAAUCAACAACAGCCCGGCCAUGGCGAGAGGCGGGCCAAAGCGCGCACAGGGCGCUAAGGCAACCCGAAGUUUCUGGAUCCUCCCCAGGCUGGACGUUCGGUCCCGUGGUCUUCAGAAGCCUUUGAACUCGCCCUGGAGUCAUUCCAUUUUGGUAUCUGUGUGACAACUUCCUGGAUAGAUUCACUCCUGAAGGAGAUAAAAUUCCCCUUAGUUAGACUCUGGACUUGUUUUUGGGUGUAGAAAAUGUGUCCCCAUAAUUAAAGUCAGCCCAGGUCAUUUUGGGAUUCAGAAUGCUGCUGAAUUUGAGGACGAAACCUGACAGAGAGCAACUAACCAUAGGUCAGUGUGAUAUACUGGAGCCAGCACCACUGGCGGGCUCGGAGCCUGGGAGAACCAGGAGCUCUUAGCACCUUCUGGAGAGAGUGUAGACUCUGACAUUACUCUUGUGGCUCUUCCUCUCAUUGGCUGUGUGACCUUGAGACUCUUAACCUCUCUGGACCUCAGUUUUCCACAUCUGUGAGAUGGGGGUAAUACUUUUGCUGGAUCAUUGUGAGGAUUGCCUGAAUUCGUGCUGUACCUGGUUUAUAGCAGCCUGUUGUAUUUAUUACUUCACAGCUCUGCCGCUGAUAGAACUAGGAGCUCUGUUUAAAAAUCUGUGACUCUUCUAGAAAAGAAAAGAAAAAUGAUGGAGAACAUGAAUAAUGUAGGUUCCGUAGGGUGCUUGAAUUACAGUUUCAAAGUAAUUUCUGAUUUGCGUUUCUCGUGCAGGUCACUGUCAGUCUGCCUUUCUUCACUGUGAGGUUUGUUAGAAAGUCUUUGAGAGAGGAAAGUGCAGCUGCAUUUCAAAGGGAAAAUACAGGCUGUCCCUUUGUUUGGGACAGCUGGGCCCCAAGUAGCAGGGCUCAGGAAGCUUGUCCUGAUGACAGCGACAGGUGGGCCAGGGCCUGUCCGGGUCUGAGAGGCGGUGUAAGUGUAGGAGCCCCCAGGGUGCCGAUCUGGGAGUGCUAUUGCGUAGCUAGGAUGAGAGGAUGGAAUAAUGCCAUGUAGGAGGGGACACAAGGCCUUCCUGGGCUCCUGGGCAGGGUCUGGGGUAGAGGAGAAUCAAAGUGGGGAAAAUUCUUCCUGCUUCUCUGACCUUCACCGCCCCUUCCCCAAUUUCAAGGCCAAGAUCUGAGUUCCGGGUUCUCAGUGCUUGCCACUGUCCCCACUUCUCUCCUCACAGGACUCAGCCCAGCCUGGCAGCCAGGUUGCUGCAGGUCAGGCUCACCCUUGUCUGAAGAUCAUUUCUCUCCUGGAUUUGUCCCCUUUUCCCCUUCCUCCUGAGUCCCACCGUUGUGCCGUUUCAUUAGGAUUUCCCAAUUCCAAAUUCCGUGAUAUGGCCAGCCCAUGCCAUUCCACACUAAGUCAGCAGAUUUCAUUCUAUUUAUAGGACGAUGCGACAAUUCAGACCUGGCGCCUCCUCUGCUGGCCUGGCAGCCACAAUAGACUUUGUUUUCUUUUCUCUUUUUUCUUUAUUCUCUUAGUUUUAAAGAUAAUUAUUCUCACAAGUAAUAUGCAAAUAUAUUCUCUCUGGGAAAGAUUUUAAAAACAGAGAAAUAUAGAGUAAAAUAUUUAGGUUCCCCUUCAUUCAAUUCUGACUGUUAAUAGUUUGGUAUGUUUCUUUCCAGUCUUUCUUCUAUGCGUUUAUAUACGUACCUGUAUAAACACAAAUGCAAAUAUAUAUGUGUGUGUAUGGUAAAGAGUUUAACCUUGCCCAAACGGGGGACUGGCCUGGCUCCUGGGAGGUAAGCUUUCUUGACCUGGGGGUCUUGGGCCAGCUGGAUAGUAACAGUGUGAUUUAGCAUGAGGCUGGCCAUGUUGGAAAGACCAACAAUGUGAUUUUGGGUGGGGGUUUUGGGUCAUGCAGUAUCAGGUGACCUACAGCUUAAACCAACCCUAUGGGCAAUCAAUCAAUCAAUCAUGUCUAUGUAAUGGAGCCCCAAUAAGCACUCUGAAUGCUGAGGCUCAGGUGAACUUCUCUUGUAGAUGAUGCUCUGUGCAUCUUGUCAACCAUCAGAGAUGUUUGACGGAGAUGCACAGAGAUGUGAGCAGAGUAACGUGCCCAUGACCCCGUGGGGAGAAGACAGUGGAAACUCGACAUUUGGCACUUCUCCUGGACUCUUCCCUUUGCUCUUCUUCUCUUGGCUGAUUUUAAUCUGUGUCCUUUCCCUGUAAUAAACUGUAACUGUGAGUGUAAGAGUUUUUAUGAGUUCUGUGAGUUUUCCUAGAAAAUUAUUGACCCUGAGGGUUUUGGGAACCCUCUGAAUUUGCAAUUGGUGUCAGAAGUGAAGGUGAUCUUGGAGACAGUGCCCUCUAACUUCAUAGUUAGCCUAAAUUCAUCACUGUGUGUGAAUUUACGUGUGUGUUUAAAAUUACAUGAUUGGGAAUUCUAUUCAUGGUUCUGGGACUUGAAUUAUUUCACAUUCCAUGUGCUUGGAGAACUUCUUCAAGGCUUUUUUUGCCUCAGUUUCCUCACCUGUAAAAUGGGCGUAACAGCAGCAUCUGCAUCCGUAGGGUUGUUAUGAGGAGUAAAUGAAUGACUGUGUGCAAAGCUCUUAGGACGAUGCUUGCUGUGAAGUUAGGGCUCCGUCAGUGCCGAUGAUGAUGGUGAUGAUUUCCGCACCAGACCAUUGAAGUCUAGCUUAUUGCUGUGAAGAGCUGAUUAAUGCAUAUCAUUUCUAUUAGCUCCUCUGGGCUUCCCACAAAGACAGCAGUAGGUUUAUGGGAAGUUUAUGCAGUGCUUUAUGGGAAGCGACUCUUCGGCUGCACUGCCAGGUGGGUAAAUGAGCCAGCUGGUCUAGAACAAGUGUUUAUUGAGCACCAAUUAUUUAACGAACACACAUUAAUUUGGCACACUCUGUGUGCGGAGGCCCUGUCCUGAUGACUGUAGAACUAUAAGCAUAAAUGUUUGGGGCUAAGAAGAAGGAGAAGGGAAUUCAUAUCGGCGGUAACAACUACUAAGUGUCACUCACUGUUAAUCUGUUAUUUCAUUUAAUCCUCACGACACCCCUAGGAGGAAAAUGUUACGACUCCCAUUUUCCAGAAGAGAAAAUUGAGUCUCAGGUUAAGAAACUCUCCAAGUUCACACAGCCAGAAUGUGUUGGGGGUGGAUUGAAGUCCAGAUCCAGUAGAAAACUAAUGAGAAUUUAAUCUCUGCUGAGCAGAGGAGGAAAAACCCAGCUGAAUGCAGGGAUGGCCACAGGACGGUCAGGGAGUGAAUUAGGAUGCUUUUGUUUAUGGCCUAAGUGUGGGCUUCAAUUGGUGGCUGUGCUCUGGCUGCCAAAAUAGGGUCAUGAAUGAAACUAGCAUUCCUUUUUCUAUGGAAAUGUCAGUUUAUGAGACACCCCGUGGACUUUGCCCUCCCUCUGGAUCGGGCUUCAUGGACAGGCAGGGCGGAACUGCAGCAGCCUUUGCAGAGAUACCAACCAUUCCUCCCUGUGGCCCAGCUGCUGCCGGCGUGAAGGUGUCCCUGGAUGUCGUGGAACUCAAGAUUUGUCUUUCCUCUUCGGAAGAACAGAUAAACCUGGAGCGAACGUUGUGCCCACCCUCUCAGGCUCUUGUUCUGAGGACCACAGGAUUGCUGGGACUUGGGGAAUUAUUCAGGAAGCUUCUGCUCUGAGAAACCUUUGCUCAGUGGAGGCAGUAGCAAUUAAUUUGCCCAUUCAGCCAGCUGCUUUUAAUUGGGCACCUACUAUGUCCCAUCCACAGUGCCAGGAACCAGGGGCACAGCCUGGAAGAGAACAGAUGUGGAUCCCCCAGGAAGCUUGAACACUCUUUGAUCUGGACAAAGUGUUUUUACAGCUGUGGUCACAGCUCGUGCCCACAGCAAGUAUGUGGGGGAGGCAAGGAUUUGUUAUCCCAUCUUCCAGAUGAAGAAACUGAGGCUGGAGAAGGCAAAGUGACUUGCUGACAACAUAAGGAAGUGACAUAACUUGCCUGAAGUCACCUGGUUUAUUGAUAAAGGUGAGAAAAAAAUAAGAAAAGUAGAAACACUCUCUACUACUCCACUAAUUUUCAGAUGUGAAAGAGAAGAAACUUCAGGACCUCAGAAUAUAACCAGAUUUGGAGAUCAGGUCUUUACCCAAUCAUUGGGGUGGACCCCAAUCCACUAUGACUGGUGUUCUCCUAAGAAGAGGAAAUUUAGACACAGACAUGUACAGAGAGAAGACCAUGUCAAGACACAGGGAGAAGAUGAUCCUCUAAGCCAAGGAGAGAAGCC